CUGAAGUUAUCCGGCUGCGACAGAUUAGUGAUAAAGGUCAACAUAAGUGGAGCACAGUUCAUGCAAAUGACCCCGUGUGACCUUCAAGUGUUCCCCAGCCUUUAUGUCCCAAUCAUUACUAAGAUCCAAAGUGAAAUCAACCACGGGGAACAGAAGAGGGCCUUUGGUCAUAAAUCAAAGGCACCACAGUACCCAAAACAAGUAUUUGUACAGGAGGAAGAAGUUUGGGA